rnacentral:rRNA from 1 species
UGAACGCUGGCGGCGUGCUUAACACAUGCAAGUCGAACGGUGAAGGCGGAGCUUGCUCUGCUGGAUCAGUGGCGAACGGGUGAGCAACACGUGAGCAAUCUGCCCCUGACUCUGGGAUAAGCGCUGGAAACGGCGUCUAAUACUGGAUACGAGCUGCGAAGGCAUCUUCAGCAGCUGGAAAGAACUUCGGUCAGGGAUGAGCUCGCGGCCUAUCAGCUUGUUGGUGAGGUAACGGCUCACCAAGGCGUCGACGGGUAGCCGGCCUGAGAGGGUGACCGGCCACACUGGGACUGAGACACGGCCCAGACUCCUACGGGAGGCAGCAGUGGGGAAUAUUGCACAAUGGGCGAAAGCCUGAUGCAGCAACGCCGCGUGAGGGACGACGGCCUUCGGGUUGUAAACCUCUUUUAGCAGGGAAGAAGCGAAAGUGACGGUACCUGCAGAAAAAGCGCCGGCUAACUACGUG